rnacentral:tRNA from 1 species
GACCCCGUAGUUCAAUGGAUAGAAUAGAAGCCUUCUAAGCUUCGGAUCUAGGUUCGACUCCUAGCGGGGUCA